CCCUGGCUCCUACAGUAUAUUCAAUAAACAGUGCUAUUAUCAUUAUUUGCUGAGUCUUACAUUGCAUGCAUUUUUCUCUGAACAUAUAUUAUAAUAUAAUUAUAUGUAAAUAUGUUUUUAUAUAUAAAUAUAUAAUAAUUAUAAUUUGACACAGCUGUUACAGAAAAAAAUCUGUAUAUUUCAAGAACACUAUAGACUCUUCAGCGUAUAGGGCCUAAGUUAAAUCCUAGUUUUUAAUUAAACACUAAUAUGCUUAAUUAAUUAUUCUUCCCAUUGUCUUUUUGUUUUGUUUUGUUUUUCCAAUUUACAAAGACACAAACCAGGUAUGUUAAGUUUACAUUGGGAACAUACAUAAAUAUAUACUAAUAAUGAAAUUUUAUUUCAAAAUUAUCCUUAAGCUAAACAACUGCCAUCAGUUCUGAUAUCAAGGGUUAGGCUUCGCUGGUGGCACAUGCUUUUAAUCCCCACACAGAGGAUUUCAAGCUUGGCCUGCCUGUCCUUUUGGAAAAGAGGGAGAACGGAGAUGUUUGGCUUAAAACACUCAAAUGUUGCCAGCCUACCCAACUGAGAUGAGUUGGUAACUCGGAGUUAAACCUCAGAAAAAGACAGUUCUAAGGACUUUCCCUUUCGUCCUGCUGGGCCUCCUGGGAGACCUAACUACAUUAGGCUUGACCUUGGCAGAACCUAAACCCCUGGCGGGUCAAGGAUUACGCACGCUGAGGAAGGUGAAUUUUUUCUCCCCGCUUUCAAGCACUGAGUGACAAGAGCCACGGGGUAGAGCCUGGGAGAAUUAAAGUCGCUAAGACCCAUCAGCCUAGGCUCGCGAGCUCCGGAUCCACAGCUGUCACGGCAGCUCUUGCAGGACGCCAGAGCUGAGGGAAAUGCCGACUCGGCCUCCAUCUGUCUGACAGCAUCAGCCACGUGGAAUUGGAGGAGCCCCGGAAUCCGCUCUCUAAACCAGCGCCAGGCCCACGACUGACCGGAGAACUCAGAGAACAAUCGCUUCACCCGCCAGCCCGCUAUUCCGGAGCCGGCUCAGCCGCUCACAGGCCACACCGCGCUUCAACCAAACCUGGCCCUUAGUCCCGCCUCACUACUCAGCGCGGAUUGGUGGUAGGGAUAAACUCUGUCGCUGAUUGGACAACAGCGAAGUCGCUCCCGCAGACCGUAGCGUCUGGCCGCAGUGGAGCCCUAAGUGUACCUUCAGACCCUAGGCCGCUCCUUGCGAGAGUCGAGCCCUUUGAGGUGGCUUAGGUGGUCCCCCCCUUCCCGAGUUGACAGCAUCACCCCGUCCCGUAUCUUCCUCCCCUCUGUUUUGUUUUUCAUCUCUCCCUCCUGUCUCCAGUCUGCGACGACUGGCCCCAUAGAUCCUCGCUGAAGGCUUCUGGUUACUCCCAUUCCCACCCUAUUCCUUAAUUUUAUUCUUUUGAAGAGUCUGCAUUUCAAGCUAUCACGUUGGAGAGAGUGAUUACAGAAAGAAGUGUUCAUUGUUUCAGGUAUCUUACCUACUAGCUGUUAACAGGAGAGUCAUUUUGAUUGAAGAUCUAAAAGGAUAGGAUAGAGCUUAAUCCUUAACCACAUGACAUUUGAACCAACAGGAGCAAUCUCUAUACCUUUACAAAUUCAAACCUUAGGAAACAGUAUUCAUUAUUGGUCUGAAGUUUGCAUUAUCCUUGAGUUUUCUUUUAUUACAUGAGAGAAAAAUCUAUUAAAGUGAGUUUAUAUUUUCUUAAGAUUCUGAUCUUGGCACAAUAAUAGGCAGAGUAACUAGUAACAAUGUGCAUUACUUGAAAUAAAUCUCAACUCAGAUAAUGUAAGUAUAUAUUAUAUGUACUUUUAAGUCUGGAGAAAUAGUGUCUACUUUUUGGUCUGCAGUUUACUUUUUAUUGUUAACACAUAAUGCUUAGAAUACAGUAGAGCUCUCUGUCUUGGAGCAGCAUGUAUUUUUAAUACAGCUUAUUAGAAUUGUUGAAGCUCUGAAGGGAGACUUCUGAUAUAUAAUAUUAUCAACAUUGAGUACAUCUAGUGGCAAUAGUUAUCAGAAAGAUAAAAGAAACUUUAAAAUAUUAUACAUUGUGAGAUAAGGUUGGUAAAUUAUAGCCCACGAAGUCUGUUUUGGUACAUAAAAGUUUUAUUGGAACACCCACCCAUUCUUUGAUCUGUUGUUAUGCUCUAACUACAGAGUUGAAUAGUUUCAACAGAGCCUGUGUGACCAACAAAGCAAGCAUUUUUACUGUAUGGUCUUAAAUAUUUAUUAACCCUUGCCAUGGAAGAUGUUUCUAAAGAACCCUUCCUUUAAAAUGUACACACAAACUCAUUAUUAUUUCUUACCCUACUAGUUUCCAGAUUCUUUUAGAAUGUUAAUAUUCUCUGCAUGUUUUGAGAAAAAAAAUGACACUACCAAUAAUAGUUUUUCUUUAUAGUUUUAAUAUGAUUUGAAUGUAAUUUUAAGACUACUAAACACAUUUCUAUAAUUUUUAUUUUUAUGUGACAAUCUACCUUUAAGAAAGAUGUGCUAUAUCAGGGAGCACUAGGAAGUUGUAUGAGAGGUCACCUGGUAACAGAAGUGAUGGUCCAUCUUCAUGAGCCAGAUGCAUAGGUAGUAUUAACAAAUUAACUUAUGUGCUGCCGUCCAUCCUCACUCAUCUUUGUUUCUUGUCUUAUUAUUUCAAAACAUUUGUGAUACUCCGUGUUAAAACUAACCAUGUUUUAUACCACAAACUCAUUACCCUUGGAUCUUUGGCUGAAACAAGGAAAUCUUAAAUAAGAAGUAGACUGGUUUGUUACCAACUUGUAUCUUAAUCAGAAUGCCAAAAGGUUGGUAUAAUACAAACUAAAGACGGGGUUGGGGAUUUAGCUCAGUGGUAGAGCGCUUGCCUAGCAAGCGCAAGGCCCUGGGUUCGGUCCCCAGCUCCGAAAAAAAAAAAAAGAAAGAAAGAAAAAAAAAUACAAACUAAGGACGAACCACUGUAAUCUUCAGUUUCUGGAAAAUCAGAAAAUGAGCUUUCCAGGGUCAAAUGUUGUCACUUCCAAUAAAAUAGCAACAUUUUGUUAAAAAAAAAAAAAAGAAAGAAAAUAUGAAAAAUUAUUUGUCCUUUGCAUGCAUUUAUUUACUUUGGAAAUUGAAAUGCACCUCAUGCUUAGUGUGUACUCUGUAAGAAAAUUGUAUCCAAUAGCUCUUUAGCCUCUAGUAUGCUUGAAGACAUCAGAAACUAAACACUCUGUGUAUAGGACAAAGACAUCAUCUUUUUCAAGCAGUAUCUUGAUUUACCUGAAAAUGGAAAACCUCCAACACCUAAGAUUGUCAAUCCAGAGAAGGAAAGUGCUACAGAAGCAUCAUACAAUGUAAGUUACAACAUAGCCCUGAGUGGAGAGGUUCAGACUGUUGGAGAAUUGCUUAUUAAACCUUGUGCAAAAGAUGUCAUGAUGCGGUGUCUGAUGAACAGUACAGUAGUAGGUGCAGCACAACUCUCGAACAGCACCAUGGCCAUCGGACUCAAGCUCUAGCUGCGAUACUGCAGAAGAACUUGUUAGGACACUGAGAAUUUGUGAUGGGUCGUCACUGCAACUAGAUGAGUCAGCUGAUGGUUCAGGACUUGCUGUGCUGUGCUUAUUGGUUAUAGGUUUAAUAAAUCUACCAAGGAGGACCUACUCUUACAUGAAUCUUUACAGAGUAACAGAACUAGUGAAGAAAUAGUCAACUGUAUCAACAAUUUUCUGCAGAGACAUGAAAUUGAAUGGAAGAAAUGUGUUGAUGUUUGCAGUGAUGCUUGUAGGGUAGUGGAUGGGAAAAUUGCUGAGGCUGUCACCUUAAAACAUGUAGUUCCAGAAAGAACCAGUAGUCACUGCCUAUUAUAUCGGCACACAUUAGCAGUUAAAAUAAUGCCCCUAUCUGUAAAAAAUGUGCUAAAUCAAGCAGUACACAGUAUCAAUUUCAUUAAAGCUCGAUCACAUCAAUCCCAGUUACUAGAAAUCUUAUGUGAAGAAAUGGGUGCUCUGCACAUAGCUCUUCUGAGUAUAGAAAUAAGGUGGCUUUCUCCGGGUAAAGUUCUUAUAAGGCUUUUUGAGCUUCGGCUUGAACUGUUGGUUUUUGUGGAUUCUGCUUUUUGACUAUCUGAUUUCUUAACAAACUUUGCUGCUAAGACUUGCAUACCUUGCUGAUAUUUUUACUAAAUUGAAUGAUGUUAAUAUAUCAAUGCCAGAAAAGAAUGUUCCAAUGUUUACAGUGUUUGAUAAAGUAUCUUCAGUAAGAGAAGAAGAAAACUUGGUUUUCCUACACUCUGAAUUUUUGACCGAGAUUAAUUCUACAGUGGAUAAAGAUAUCUGCAGUGCUAUCAGGCAGCAUCUAAAGGGUUUUCUUCUUGGGGUUGAGGAUUUGGCUCAGUGGUAGAGCGCUUGCCUAGCAAGCGCAAGGCCCUGGGUUCGGUCCCCAGCUCCGGGAAAAAAAAAAAAAAGGGUUUUCUUCUCGACUCUUUUAAAAUAUUUUUCUGUGACAAGUGAUAAUAAUACUUGAGUUAGAAAUCCAUUUAUGGUAACUGUUAAACCAGCCUCAUUAGUAGCUCAGAACCAUGAGAGCCUGAUUGAUUUAACAUCUGAAUCCCAAGUGAAGGAAAAUUUCAGUGAACUGACACUGAAUGAUUUUUGGAGUAGCCUAAUUCAAGAAUAUACAACAUUGCAAGAUGUGCUGUUCACGUCUUCUUCCUUUUACAGCAAUGCACCUGUGUGAAACAGGGUUUCAUGUUAUGCUGACACAAAACCAAAAUAUAGGAAAAGACUUAAUGCUGUGGCUCAUAUGUGGAUCUGCCUUAGCAACAUCAUACCUAAUAUUAAACCAAUAUAUGGCAAAAGACGGGGAAACACUGUUCUCAUCAAAAUUGAAUGACUUUGCAUGUCUAUUGUUAAUGUAAGGUGAAAAUAAAAGAUGAAUUCAUCUCUAAUACUGA